rnacentral:lncRNA from 1 species
UUUCCAGAAGCCCUUUUUAUUCAGUGGGGUCCUGGGAAACUCCUACUCAUUCCUAGUGCCAGAUAAAGAGCAGAUUAACUGAAGUAGGGUGAGUGGCACUCAUUGAUGCUUCUACAAGUCAGGGGUUUCAGCAUCUGUGGCUGCAUCUGCAGGGAUUGCUUAUAACCUAGUUGCAAGGCUCUGUGUUCAACUGAGCUAGAAGUGGAAGCAAGAGCUAGACUGUGCUCCUUAGCUGGGCUGUGGGAUUUUAUUCCGGAGUUUAAGAAAAGUUACAAUGUCCCAUGUAUGAUUCUCUAAGGAUAUUUUGUUUACAACACUGGAACCUUUUCCAGGUGUAUGCUUGACAGAGCUUGAGAUAAACUUAAGACAGGCAGAUGUCCUUUGAAAGCCCCAACUUCUCUGUCACUGCCACAUACUACUGUUCAUGACAUGUUACUUCUCGAGCCCGUGGCAUGCUCGCUUAGCCAGAGCUAACUGUUCCAAGUCCAUUCACACUCUCAAAGGUAGUAUGUCACUAGUUCUAACGUCACUGGUUAGGCCCCUGUGAGAACCUUACAAGCCUCCUUAUUACAUAGUCUUGUGGUUUGAUGAAGAAAAUAAAUCUGUGUUUUCCUUCUCUAGGUUUUAAUCCUUAGAUUAUCCCAUAUUUUUCUAAAAUAAAUUGUUUAGGAAAGUGGAAAAAUAUAUUCAUAGUGAGUUAUAAAAUAUAACGUUGGGGAUAUAUUUUCUUGUAUAUAAGUAUAUAUGUAUAUGUAUACAUAUACAUAUAUAUGUAUGAAUAUACACAUAUAUGUGUGUGUGUGUCUGUGUGUAUGUACAUACAUAUAUAUGCUGGUUUCUCUUCUCUUCUUUGCAUUCUCCCAGUAUAUCUCCUAUUGAUAAUUUAAUAGCUUAAAAUUUUAAGUAUAAGCUGCUUAUUGUUUGAACUGAAGAGUAUAUUUAAUAUUGCUGUUCUUCUUGGGGCUGCAUACAGUCAUCUAAACUAUGAGAGGAAGAAAGGAGAUUAAAAUUUCUUUGCUUUGGCCUAUACAGAUUAUGGAUUUUAAAGCUAGCUUCACUGCCUAUGUAAUCUCAUAAAGCUAAUUGCUUGUUUGACUUUGAUUCCAAUUCUUCUGUCUCAAGAGAGAGGCCACUUUUACAAGGCUUUUAAACUGUGAUUUUUUUUUUUUUGGUUGUUGUUGAAGAAUUAAAUCAAAAGCCCUUUGUUUAAGUAGAUAGAUAAUUUAAAUAUAUUAGUUUUAUGUACAUGUGAGAGAGCAAUCAUUCAGACUCUUACUGUAGGAUUCUGAUUUUAUUUUUAUUUACUUGGAUGCUCUGGUAUAAUGUCUUAAGAAUUUACAUUUUGGCAUACCUCAGUGAAUCCUGUUUCUAGCCAUAAAGUCCUUUUUUAUGGUGCUUUACCAUUAUAACUACAGUGAAGUUAACAAGACUGC